GGAGGAAUGCCAGAGUGGUUGAAUGGAACUGUCUUGAAAACAGUCGAGCGUGAUGAGCGCUCCGGGGGUUCGAAUCCGCCUUCCUCCU
rnacentral:tRNA from 2 species